GUCCACAGCAGUUAUUUUUCCCUGUAAUCCAUGUAUUUAAUUAAUCAGCUGCACACUGAGAAAGUGUAAGGUGGCUAAUCACUUUAAUCAUUAAGCAGUGGUAUUAGUUUUCACUUAAGACAUCAUUCAGGGAAAGUAAAUUAGGGCUUGAAAUGAGAAAUGUGCAGAGGUGGAAGAGCAAAUAAGGACAUUUCUUCAUCAGCUCUGACAGGCACUUUUAAAAUUGGCUUGUGCCUCUCUCCUGGGUUCUCCAAAGAAGUUUUUUUGGAAUUAGUUUCUUCUUUUAUUUAGACAAGGCAAGUAAAGGAAAGAUAUCAGUUCUCACUGUUUGCUAAGGAGGGAUCUGAUAUUGUUCUGUUUUGAUUGUAUGUUACUUUCUUUUCUGGAGACCAUUUAGCUUUUGGAACCAGCCAGAAAUCUUCCAAUAGAACAAUAUCUUUUGCCAGCAAAGAUGAGUUUUAUAAACUGUAAGUGUCCAUGGGUAAUACAAGUAAAAUAUUUCUAUUUUGGAUCAAUUCAAUCUCACUUUAAAUAUUUGUCUGCUGGAACUUUCUGAAUUAAAUCAGCGGCAACAAAAUACCACUCAAGUUCAUGGUCCGUUCAAGAGGACAGGAUCAAAUACAGAGUCUCCUGGAGGCAGUGCCUACCAUGUAAUAUUAAAAAAAGGCCAGCAAAAUGAAGUAAGAAGCUUCUAAUUCCCCAAAGAAAAUAACACAUUUUUAGUUGAAAAAAGGCAAAAGUAUUUUUGCAGUUUUUGCAUUUGGAAGUGCCUGCUUUUUGUGAAAAUAAUUGUUUUAACUGCUCAACCUGUUUAAGACAAUACUGAUGUUGAAAUCCGUGAAUAUCUUUCAGUGUUGAAUUGGAACUUCAUUAAACUUCAUGUUAUAGUUACUUGUCUACUUACGGUCUUACCAGGGAAGUCUGAAUUAGAUGGUGCUUGUGGAGAAUGCUUAUCCCUCAAAAAGCUUCAUAAAAAUUUGAUAGGUGCCAAGGAUAGACUUUCAGACCCAGUGUUGACUUGGCAAGAAGCAUCUCAAAUCCUCUGUUUAUUAGUGGAUGUGCAAAUGAUAAACAAUUGCAUGCAAAAGGGAAAGUUUUGAUGGAGCCCUUUGGAUAAGCCUCCAGGAGAGGAAAGCAAGAAGACAUAAGGAACCUGCGAUCAUGUGCAAACAAAUGCUAGCCUAAAUACAGUAGAUACAGAUACAAAUGGACUCCAGUAUUUAAACACCUCUUCCUCACUGUGCCUGGAAGUUAUUUUGGUUCAUUUGAAAUUAGUUCCUUUUUUUGUUUGUUUUGGCACUUCAUCUUGAUGCAGCUGCUUGCUUUGCAUUGUUUAACUUUGUUGUAUGCAUUCAUGUGUUCCAUGUUAAUAGUUCUCAGUAGGUGAACUAGCAUACUAUGUAGGUUGUUAAGAUAUUUUUGAAAGUCUGCCCGAUUUCACAUUGCUUUGAUUUAAAAAUAAUGUACUUUCUGUUGCACUCCCAACAGAAGCAAUAAAAAUAAUGAGCAUUUCUUACAGAGGAACAAAAUAGCAGUGUGAAAUGUCUGAUAAAAUGCUGGUCUCAUUGAAGUCACCAGUAGCCCUUCCAUUAAGUCCAGAGCAAUCAGAAAUUUGGCAGACUGUACAAACAACGGGUUUAUAGGAUUCACUGUAUAUUGCUUUUUUUAAUCAUCAUAAGAGACAGGCUUCAUAGCUUCAGCAGGGCAAAUAAGGAUCCCAAAAGCUGUAGAAACAUGACCAACCAGGAUAAUGUCUUUCACUACAGGACAGGAGCUUGUAUUUGAUGUAGCUUCUGCUACUUUUCAUGCUGUGCAGGUAUUGUGUGAAAGUUAAAUGGGUGUGCUAGUGCAUAACUCAGUCACACAUUCCCCCUACUCUUUACUCAUAAACUUUGAAAUGGAUGAUCUUUGGAAAUGUCCUGCAGUCAGGCUGUGGUCUGCCUUUUUUUAAUGGAGAUGCCUCUCUUUGAAUAUGUACAAAGGAGAGUACAAAAAUCUGUGCUAUGCUUAAGGACUUUAUAAUUUAAACACUAGUGCAUGUUGUAAAAAUUUACUUAUUGGGAGAAACAAAACCACUUUAAUUCAGUGAGGCACUUAACUCAGUUGAAAAAUUAGUCAGAAGCAAUACCGUGUCUGACUGAUGUAAUUGUGAAUCUCUCAUUGUCAGCUAAUGAUGUCUAGGACAUUUCUUAAAUUUACGCAUCCAAUAAAUUACUGUGAAAACAUCAGCUGUUAAUCAAACAGAAUAAUUUAAGAGAAGAGUCUGGAAUGAUCACGUACUGUUUAAAAGCAUUAGUGGUGGCACAGUAUAGUACGUGUAGAUUUACGUGAAGUUGUUCUGCAGUCUCACCUUAUCUCCCUGAAAUUUUGGAUUUAGCUGUUCUAUGGUUCCCCUGCCUCUCUCACAUAGAAUAAACAAAGGAAAUGAUUUUUAAUUAAUAGAAAAACAAAUAAACUAGUCCAUUAAAGUCCCUGAGAACCCAGCAUGACUUGACAGAUUUUAGUGACAGGAAUACUCUCCUGCAAUGCACUCAAACUAUGCUAAUGAGCAUGCAGUUGGAAUAAAAGAGUAGAUCUUUAAAACCUUGUAACUCCAAGGCACGUAAAUCAGCUUGUAUUUGCUUCUGUGGUGAAAGAAAUGUAGAUAAUGGUUUGCAUUAUGUUUUCUAAGUCUCCUCUCUGAACUGUUCACCUCCUUUUGAUCCACCUACAGUGUCAUAUUUUUGUGUCUGUUUGUUAUCGUCCAUACUAAUGCAAUUUAGGUGUAACUGCUUGAGUGCUUGUUAAGAAUUGGUUCUUCUCUUGUCAGCUGAGAAACCUUUCAGAAGAAGGAGAAAACAACCACUUUAUUGUCUUGCCAGUUCUUACUUUCAGUGCUCUUGUGUGAGUAGGGUAGCUCUCCCAGUCCUCCUCUUCCUCCCCACAAACACCAUCAACUAGGCUUAUCUGCUACCUCACCAAGCCAUCUAAGCCAGUUGAUUUCCAUCUUCUCCAAAAAGCUGCAGUUUGCCUGUUUUGUACAAGCACAAUUAGUGUAACUGGUUUAAGUGCCCAGCCUCAAUAGCCUGCCAGUUUUGUUUUAUGAGUGCCAUUACAACCGUAUCUCCAGUAUCCGUGCACUUUGCUGGAAGCAUUGCUGAUAACUGAUCAGUUUUUACAGACUCUGGCUGCACUGCCUCUCUGGUCAUGGAGGCGGAUGGCCCCUUGCAGCUGCAGGGCAAUGUUUUCUCUGCCAGCACAAGCAGCUACUCUUUGCCCUAUGUCAUGUGCUUGAGUUACUGCUGAGUACUGCAAACUCUGAGCUACAGAUUUUCUUCCACUGUUGGAAAAACUUGUCCCUUACCCACCCCGUGGCACUUAAGAAUGAGGCCUUUGUGUUGGAUGUGAUCCAAAUCCUGCCCGUGGUAUUAAGGAAUGUAACUAAGAGUAAUGGACCUGAACCUCGGUGCUCUGCUGCUGGAUUUAUAACUCCAUUAUUGUCCCAGCUUCAGUAGGUCACACUAAUGACAUGAAGAGUAACCUGAAGGGGGAAAAUAUCCAUGUACUGGUAAGGGAAUGCAGGCCAGGUUUUUAAUAAGAUAGAACACCAAGGCUGGAUGAAGUGUGUGUUCACAGUAUUUUUCAUUUUGCUCUUUAUAUUUGCUAACAUCAUGAAAUGGUCCAAGGGCUUCUCUGGUUCUGGCUACUCAGAUGCCAUGUAUUUUCUUCACAAAUACUCGCCCUGAGUUAAAGAAAUCAAGGAGUUCGUUUCAUAAGCUGAAGCCUUACAGCUUUAAAUUUGCCACUUGCCCUGAGACUCAUUACCUGUAAUUGAUUUAUUAAUCGUCUUCAGUAAAUGUGCCUACCUAUGAACAUUCAGUAUGUUUGAGGCAUAUCUCAGAGAUUUUUGGCAUCCCCUCUGAAAUUUAAGCAAUGCUUUGCUGAGUAGAAAUGUCUCAUUUUUUUUCUAAAUUAACUUGCUUUGAAGAGCUCUCACUCUAAGUAAUUAAUAGCUUAGAUGCACUUCAGGUUUCUUCCACAUCAUCCUGAAAACUGUGGAGGGAGAACCAAAAAUGUGCUCCUCUCUUAAAAGUUCAAGUUUUCUCUGAGUUUCCGUGAUUAUUUUUCUUUUCCUUUUAUUUUUUGUCCUGUUUGACUCUAUAUACCUCUGAGCCAAGCAACAGCAAAAAGCAGCCGCAGUGAGCUAGGCUGCAUGUAGCUGAAUGCAUCUGGCCUUCCAUUUGGUUUACUAUACUGGGAAAACACUCAGCAGUCUUGAUAGCUAAGAAUGGAAUGGAUUAUUUCUUCUAUUAUUUGAAGCCUGAAAAACUUUGUUGUGCUUAGAUUGAUCUGUCUCACUGCUGUACUUACUACAUAGGUGCUUUAUCCCCAUGUGAAAUAGUUUGUGAGUUAAUUUUAGCUGCAGGCUUUACUUUGAGGAUGUUUACAUGCCCAAGAGUGCCAGCUGGCAAUGUAACUCAUCUGGGUUUUCUGAUUCAUUUAUUUUUUUGAUCUGCAGGGGAAGCAGAAAAGAAAUCAGUGAAAAAUAAGAUAAGUGGUAAAUAAGAGGUAGUGCCAAGUGAGAUGAAGAGAAGCUGAUCAGUUACUUGACAAAGGAAAUCUGUCCAAUCUAGAGAAAGAAUGCAGUUUAAGGUAUCUUGUUAAGCUAUUUUUCACUGUAACUGUUACUUUAAAAAUACUACUACUUAACCACAGAUAAAUAUAAAUGUUAACUCAAGCCCCAUGUCUUUUUCAAUUGCAUGGGUUUUUUGUUUUUUUUUUUGUUUGUUUUUGUUUUGUUUGGUUGUUUUUUGUUGUUGUUGUUGUUAUGUUUUUUAAAACCUCAGCUGUGUCAGGUUUUCUGUUUUGCAAAAUGAGAAGCAAUAUCACAGGUGACAGAGGGAACAUGUCUUCCUAUAGAUUUUGACAACUGGAUUAUUAGAAACGGUAACAUCUGUUACCUCAAAUGCCUUCACCCUUAUAAAAUGAGCAUUAGCCAAAUGUUGGUAAUAGUUGGUUUAUACUCUUUUGGCUGUAUUUUACCUAAAACUGAAUUUUUGAGUGUUACGGGAAUUGAGGUAAGAGCUUUUGCAGUGGUAACUACAAAUUUGUCCAGUUAAAGGAAGAUUUCUCAGCUUUUUAAUAGAUCCAGGAGGGUGGAAAGUGAUUUCCUUAGCAGCUAACAGGGUGCUGAAGGACAAGACUAAUUACUUGAGGGGACAAAUUGGGUCAUUCAUCAUUUCCCCACAGUCAGAGCUUCCUCCCAAAUCUUCUUCAUUUCAAUAAACCAGCUUUAUCCAGCAAAUAUUGUGAGGAAAUCCACGCUUUACUGUAGAAGUAGGGCAAACUAAUUAAGAGCAAUGCAGUGGUGUUAGCUACUCAUGAAGUAAUGGCUUCAAAGAUCCCUACUUCAGUAAUCUUUCACACCUUUUUACUUGUAUUACUUAUUUUAUGGUGUUUUAUUCCACUCAGCUGCUCAGUGCAGGAGGUUUGCUUUGUGUUGUGAAAUCACCGUUGUGGUGUGCUAUGUACUUGCUCACUUUGUGGACAAGCAGAGCCUCUAAUGAAUAUCUGAACCUGGAAUGCUAGGAUGGUUUAUGGGCACCUUGGGUAGUAUUCAGGACCUGGCAUGCUUCUCUACUCCAUCUGUUUCAAAUGAGAUUUGUAUUUAUUUUUCUAUGACUGCUUUGAAAAGGAGGAUGGUAGAAAAGUGUGCUGCUGUCUUGUAAAUUAUUCAAGGUAUGACUGAGUGUUCCUUCUUUUAUAAUAUACCUGUAAGAACUGGCUAAAAAGCUUAUGUCUCUGGAGGGAGAUGAAAGUAUUCGCCGACAGUGAAUUCUCUCUUUAUGGUUAAUAUAUUUGAACGCAACCCAUUUGUGGAUGUAUUCUCGAUGUUGACAAGGUCCUGAAUUCAGCUCUGGAUUUGCUAGAUAGCAGUAUGAGACAUGUAAAUUAGUUCAUAGAAAAGCAGAGCUACUUAAGAAGUUGCAGGGUUUUUUUUU